rnacentral:rRNA from 1 species
CCUACGGGAGGCAGCAGUGAGGAAUAUUGGUCCAUGGGCGCGAGCCUGAACCAGCCCAGUAGCGUGAAGGAUGACUGCCCUACGGGUUGUAAACUUCUUUUAUCAAGGAAUAAAGUGAGGCACGUGUGCCUUUUUGUAUGUACUUUAUGAAUAAGGAUCGGGUAACUCCGUGCCAGCAGCCGCGGUAAUACGGAGGAUCCGAGCGUUAUCCGGAUUUAUUGGGUUUAAAGGGAGCGUAGAUGGGGUGUUAAGUCCGUUGUGAAAGUUUGCGGCUCAACCGUAAAAUUGCAAUUGAUACUGGCAGCCUUGAGUACAGUUGAGGUAGGCGGAAUUCGUGGUGUAGCGGUGAAAUGCUUAGAUAUCACGAAGAACUCCGAUUGCGAAGGCAGCUUACUAAACUGCCACUGACAUUGAUGCUCGAAAGUGUGGGUAUCAAACAGGAUUAGAUACCCGGGUAGUC